rnacentral:rRNA from 1 species
UACAGAGGUGGCAAGCGUUGUUCGGAAUUACUGGGCGUAAAGCGCGCGUAGGCGGUUUUGUAAGUCGGGUGUGAAAUCCCCAAGCUUAACUUGGGAACUGCAUUCGAGACUGCAUAGCUAGAGUAUGGGAGAGGGAAGUGGAAUUUCAGGUGUAGCGGUGAAAUGCGUAGAUAUCUGAAGGAACAUCAGUGGCGAAAGCGACUUCCUGGACCAAUACUGACGCUCAUGUGCGAAAGCGUGGGGAGCAAACAGG